AUUAUGCUUUGUACUGUUCACAGUGAAGGCAAUGUCUCUGGCAUGUUUUUGUGCAUGAACACAUAUGUCAUGGAGCCAGCAUAUAUCAGGAGUAAUGUUGAAAAUAUCUUGAGUACAAGAGAGUGCCUUUUUUGACUACUGGUUUUUCCCACAUUCUUUUCUGCAUUUAUCAUCAACUGUUUCAAUAUUGGUGUAACAUUAUCUGUUGUGUAUAUAAGUGAUGUGUGUUCCUGAGACGAUGUUGAAAUAGAAGAUAUUAUAGAAUACAGCUUCUCAUUUUCUUUAACCAGGUGAGUGAUUUUAUCGAUUGGAUUAUAGAACUCUGUUAUUAGGGACUGGUCAAAAUCAGCAGCUGCAGCUUCUAAUUUCCUACGAUUCCGAGCAGAACGUGACCAAUAGGUAUUAGCCCCUCCUCUUUUAACAACAGAGGAGGGGCUACCGUAUUUUCUUGAGUAAAAGCCGCCCCCGAGUAGCUGCCUCCCUCAAAUAGAUGCCUCCCGGGGCCAAAGUAGUGAAGGAAAUUACCGCCACCUUCAAAUAGACGCCGCAUUAAAAUGGCCGUCUAGUCACAGUUGAGUCUGAGUUGACUGUAGCCACUUCAUCCUAUCGAUAAGUUUUAUCUUUCCAGGAAAGGUAUAGAUACAUGG